rnacentral:rRNA from 1 species
AGUGAACGCUGGCGGCAUGCCUUACACAUGCAAGUCGAACGGCAGCACGGGGUGGUAACACUCUGGUGGCGAGUGGCGGACGGGUGAGUAAAGCAUCGGAACGUGCCCUGGAAUGGGGGAUAACGUAGCGAAAGUUACGCUAAUACCGCAUAUUCUGUGAGCAGGAAAGCAGGGGAUCGCAAGACCUUGCGUUCGAGGAGCGGCCGAUGUCGGAUUAGCUAGUUGGUGGGGUAAAGGCCUACCAAGGCGACGAUCCGUAGCGGGUCUGAGAGGAUGAUCCGCCACACUGGGACUGAGACACGGCCCAGACUCCUACGGGAGGCAGCAGUGGGGAAUUUUGGACAAUGGGCGCAAGCCUGAUCCAGCCAUGCCGCGUGAGUGAAGAAGGCCUCGGGUUGGUUAAAGGACUCUUUCGGUUGGGGAAGGAAAUUAGCACGGGAGUAAUAACCCUGUGUAGAUGACGGUACCUGGAGAAGAAGACACCGGCUAACUACGUGCCAGCAGCCGCGGUAAU